AGCUCCAAAAGCGUAUAUUAAAGUUGUUGCGGUUAAAAAGCUCGUAGUUGAAUCUGCGUCCUUGGUUGGCGGUCCCCUAACGGUGGUACUUCCAUACCAGGACUAACUUCUCCGGUUUACCCUUGGUGCUCUUUACUGAGUGUCUUGGGUGGCUGGAACGUUUACUUUGAAAAAAUUAGAGUGCUCAAAGCAGGCGGUCAGCCUGAAUAGUGGUGCAUGGAAUAAUGGAAUAGGACUUCGGUUCUAUUUUGUUGGUUUAAGGGAUCGAAGUAAUGAUUAAGAGGGACAGACGGGGGCAUUCGUAUUGCGCCGUUAGAGGUGAAAUUCUUGGAUCGGCGCAAGACGAACUACUGCGAAAGCAUUUGCCAAGAAUGUCUUCG
rnacentral:rRNA from 1 species